UCCCAUGCCAUUGUAUUUCUCUUUCAAUGUGCACUGGAGGUGACGUCAGGUAUACAUCAAGUAAAUGGCUCAGGAGAAGGGAACUGUCAGGCAGCCAUAAAUUACAGAGAGUUAUGGUCGAGUUUAUGGUUCUUCAACUCUUAAUACACCUUGCAGCUUUAGCAUAGCACUUGAGCUCACAGUGAGACAACAGUUGACAGGAUUAUAUUUUAUUUUAAGAAGUUUAUAUUUUAAGAAGCCCAUUUGCUGCUUUCUUUUUCUCCUACUUCAGUUUUUGUCUUGGAAACAAAUGAUUAUGGAACUUGGGCUUCCUUGUCACUGUCUGAAGUGCCCCCUCAGGGUAAAUCAGCUUGGGUGAAAGCAGAGCCAGCCUCAUUCCUGCCAAACCCUCGGGGGCCUGGGGACGAGGAAACCCAGCUGGAUCCUGCAGGAUGGGCAGAGCCCAGAGGCAGAACCCUGCUCCUGCAGUGCAGCCCAGCCCGGGUGGGUCUGACACUGCUGUGGGCGAGCUCUGGGCUGGGAACAGACCCGAACGUGUCCUCAGGGGAUGUUCACCAGGCCGUGCACAAAACAAGUGUGAAAAUGAUGGAUAUUUCAAAUGAAAAUUCAUGGAGUGUUGCCUCAGGGUGGAAGUGGUGCCCUGAACACUGUUUUGGACAGUUCCUGCUCGCUCUCCAUGGAGGAUUUUGGCUGCUGUGCUGAAGAGUUCUCACCACUGGUGAGCACUCAGAGAACAUCUGCAAACAGCAGGAGGGGCUGGCACAGUGUGCUCCCCUGGCAGAUGGCAUCUGGAACCCUGGGACAUUGGCACAGGAGAGCUGUGCUGAGCCCCUGGACAGCAUCCAGACAUGGGAGCUGGGAGAGAUCACCUCCAAAAUUCAGCCAGAAAGGAAACCCUGAGGAGAGCUGGCCUGCAGCAAGGUACAGAACAGGACAAUUUAAAUCGAGCAAUCCCUCCCCUUUCUUGGCUUGGAUUUGGCUGUGUCAGUCCUCACUUUUCAAGGGGGGCAGAAACCCAGCC